rfam:Aedes aegypti strain Liverpool supercont1.513 genomic scaffold, whole genome shotgun sequence.
CCUCUCAUGGCGCAGAGGUAAUGCGCACUAACUAGAUAUCAGGGAGUCGUGAGUUUGAUUCUCACUGAGAAGA